rnacentral:rRNA from 1 species
ACGUGAUCUGAGUUCAGACCGGAGCAAUCCAGGUCAGUUUCUAUCUAUAACAGCGCUUUCUCUAGUACGAAAGGACCGAAAAAGCAUGGUCCAUGUAUUAUGCAAACCAUACCCGAUUAUUUAUGACCUAGUCUCAAUAAACACUCAACCUACCACCUCUCUCAAGACAAGAGUA